rnacentral:rRNA from 1 species
ACGCUGGCGGCAGGCUUAACACAUGCAAGUCGAACGGUAACAGGGAUUAGCUUGCUAAUUUGCUGACGAGUGGCGGACGGGUGAGUAAUGCUUGGGAAUCUGGCUUAUGGAGGGGGAUAACUACGGGAAACUGUAGCUAAUACCGCGUAAUAUCGGAAGAUUAAUGGGUGGGACUUUCGAGCCACCUGCCAUAAGAUGAGCCCAAGUGGGAUUAGGUAGUUGGUUAGGUAAAGGCUGACCAAGCCGACGAUCUCUAGCUGGUCUGAGAGGAUGACCAGCCACACUGGAACUGGGACACGGUCCAGACUCCUACGGGAGGCAGCAGUGGGGAAUAUUGCACAAUGGGGGGAACCCUGAUGCAGCCAUGCCGCGUGAAUGAAGAAGGCCUUCGGGUUGUAAAGUUCUUUCGGUGACGAGGAAGGUUGAUAGGUUAAUAGCCUAUCAAAUUGACAUUAAUCACAGAAGAAGCACCGGCUAACUCCGUGCCAGCAGCCGCGGUAAUACGGGGGGUGCGAGCGUUAAUCGGAAUAACUGGGCGUAAAGGGCACGCAGGCGGUGACUUAAGUGAGAUGUGAAAGCCCCGAGCUUAACUUGGGAAUUGCAUUUCAUACUGGGUCGCUAGAGUACUUUAGGGAGGGGUAGAAUUCCACGUGUAGCGGUGAAAUGCGUAGAGAUGUGGAGGAAUACCGAAGGCGAAGGCAGCCCCUUGGGAAUGUACUGACGCUCAUGUGCGAAAGCGUGGGGAGCAAACAGGAUUAGAUACCCUGGUAGUCCACGCUGUAAACGAUGUCGAUUUGGGGAUUGGGCUUUGAGCUUGGUGCCCGUAGCUAACGUGAUAAAUCGACCGCCUGGGGAGUACGGCCGCAAGGUUAAAACUCAAAUGAAUUGACGGGGGCCCGCACAAGCGGUGGAGC